rnacentral:misc_RNA from 1 species
AAUAGUAAUGGGUAGAUGAUGCAGUAUUCCAUUUUUACAAGCAACAAAACACGAGAUAACAGAAAUUUAUUGGAAGCCCCUGUAUAAAUUUGAAGGGUUCAACUUCACAAACACUUACAAUUUAUAAGAAGGCGGUUCCAAUUGCAUUAAAUCAAUCCGGCUUCGUAUCAUUAAUAAGCCAAGAUAAAUAAGUAGCAAUCACGGUAAUGUAAUUCGCAAAUUUGGUUUUGUUUAAUUAAACGUGCUACGUAUAAACACAUAAAUAAACAAAAAUCCAUUUG